UUGUUUUUCUUAUAAACAUUGUCGUAAGUUAUUUGUUUGUUAAAAUUAAUCUUGUUGUUGUGGUUGAUUCGUGAGUAUGAUAAAUCAAACUAAAUCUGCAGCUUCUCUUUGAUAUUCAUUCAUAGAGUCCUAUUUUGAUCUCUAUAUAGUUAUUUAUUUGUCUGUUAAAAUUAAUCUUGUUGUGUUUGAUUCAUGAGUAUUCAAAAUUUGAAACUUUUCUUUGAUAUUCAUUCAUAGAGUCCUAUAUAUUUUGAUCUGUCUAUAGUUAUUUGUAUUUAAAAUUAGUUGUGUUUGAUUCAUGAGUAUUAUAUAAGAGCUAUUCUUCAGAGUUUCUAUUAAAUUAGUAACUUAGUAACAAAGAGAAAGGAAAUUACUAUUUGUAUAAUUGAUUUUAUAUAAUUGUGUAGGAAUUACUAUUUGUGUGCUUCUUGCAAUAUGGAAAUUAUUAACAACAGUCCUGAAAUAUCUGAUAAUGAGGAAGAGGAUAAUGUUAGUCAAGCUAGAGAAGUUCCACCUCAAAAUGCAGAAGAACAAGAAGUGGCUUCUAAACCAAAAAAGGCCAAGAAGCGUAAGACUAAGAGGUCUAAUCAGGAUGAGUGUAAGCCUAAGGCCCUAACAUCUGAUUGUUGGACAUAUUUUGAUAAAGUUG
rnacentral:lncRNA from 1 species